GCCAAUUUAGCUCAGUGGUAGAGCAGCUCACUCGUAAUGAGCAGGUCGCCGGUUCAAGUCCGGCAAUUGGCUC
rnacentral:tRNA from 1 species